rnacentral:rRNA from 1 species
AUGUCUAGCUCAACUUCGGCCUCCCGCCAAUCAUGGCCGCACUACGGUCCAGUGCCGUUGACAAGAUGCCCCGAUUGCCCGCGCAUUGAGCCUCUGAAGCGUUUGACUUGUGUGAAGGAGGAAUGGCAACCGUGGGCGCGAGUUCGUCAAAUGCUUGAGCAAGCCACAACCGGGGCAGGUUCUGAAGAAAUGUGGACAUUUCGAGUGGCUCGAUAA